GGCUGGUCCGAUGGCAGUGGGUUAUCAGAACUUAUUAACAUUAGUGUCACUAAAGUUGGUAUACCACCCCCCACUGCUAAAUUUGACUGGCCUAAA
rnacentral:Y_RNA from 1 species